CGGCGCACGGGUGCGUAACGCGUAUGCAAUCUACCUUUCACAAAGGGAUAGCCCAGAGAAAUUUGGAUUAAUACCUUAUAGUAUAUAUGAAUGGCAUCAUUUAUAUAUUAAAGAUUUAUCGGUGAAAGAUGAGCAUGCGUCCCAUUAGCUAGUUGGUAAGGUAACGGCUUACCAAGGCAACGAUGGGUAGGGGUCCUGAGAGGGAGAUCCCCCACACUGGUACUGAGACACGGACCAGACUCCUACGGGAGGCAGCAGUGAGGAAUAUUGGACAAUGGGCGCAAGCCUGAUCCAGCCAUGCCGCGUGCAGGAUGACGGUCCUAUGGAUUGUAAACUGCUUUUAUACAGGAAGAAACACUUGCUCGUGAGCAAACUUGACGGUACUGUAAGAAUAAGGAUCGGCUAACUCCGUGCCAGCAGCCGCGGUAAUACGGAGGAUCCAAGCGUUAUCCGGAAUCAUUGGGUUUAAAGGGUCCGUAGGCGGUCAGGUAAGUCAGUGGUGAAAGCCCAUCGCUCAACGGUGGAACGGCCAUUGAUAC
rnacentral:rRNA from 1 species